CUCUUGAGAGCGGCGGACGGGUGAGUAAUGCCUAGGAAUCUGCCUAGUGGUGGGGGAUAACGUUCGGAAACGGACGCUAAUACCGCAUACGUCCUACGGGAGAAAGCGGGGGAUCUUCGGACCUCGCGCCAUUAGAUGAGCCUAGGUCGGAUUAGCUAGUUGGUGAGGUAAAGGCUCACCAAGGCGACGAUCCGUAACUGGUCUGAGAGGAUGAUCAGUCACACUGGAACUGAGACACGGUCCAGACUCCUACGGUAGGCAGCAGUGGGGAAUAUUGGACAAUGGGCGAAAGCCUGAUCCAGCCAUGCCGCGUGUGUGAAGAAGGUCUUCGGAUUGUAAAGCACUUUAAGUUGGGAGGAAGGGUAGUAACUUAAUACGUUGCUACUUUGACGUUACCGACAGAAUAAGCACCGGCUAACUUCGUGCCAGCAGCCGCGGUAAUACGAAGGGUGCAAGCGUUAAUCGGAAUUACUGGGCGUAAAGCGCGCGUAGGUGGUUCAGUAAGUUGGAUGUGAAAUCCCCGGGCUCAACCUGGGA
rnacentral:rRNA from 1 species